rnacentral:tRNA from 1 species
GCCGGACACGCCGCGGGCGCGGCCGUGGCUGUCGCCUGCGGCCGCGCCCGCGGUUCCAAGGCCGUGCCCGGCCC